rnacentral:tmRNA from 1 species
GGGGGCGAAUGGGCUCGACGGGGGUUAUGAGGCAUACGUGGCAUGCCGUGGCUCCAUCACCACGUAAAAAGAUGGAACAAACACAAACGCCAACAACGAACUGGCACUCGCUGCUUAA